GACGAACGCUGGCGGCGUGCUUAACACAUGCAAGUCGAACGAAGUGGCGAACGGGUGAGUAACGCGUAAUCAACCUGCCCUUCAGAGCGGGACAACAGUUGGACACGACUGCUCAUACAGUAUACUGAGGGAGGGGAUCGCGUCUGUUUAGGUAGUUGGAGGGGUACCGGCCCACCAAGGCGAUGAUCAGUAGCCGGGCGUAGAGGAUGAGCGGCCAGAAUGGGGCUGAGACACGGCCCAAAACCCUACGGGAGUCAGCAGUGGGGAAGCGUCCGCAAUGGACGAAAGUCUGACGGAGUAGCGCCGCGGGAGUGAUGACGGCCUUCGGGUUGUAAAGCUCUGUUAAUGAGGACGCGGUACCGGAAUAGAAAGCCACGGCUAACUACAUGCCAGCAGCCGCGGUAAUUC
rnacentral:rRNA from 1 species